UUUCUUGUGUUGUGGACGUCUCGAGUGUUUCCAGGCCCCAAGGGCCAGAGCCUGAAGAAACCUACAGAACAGACCCACGGACACACCAGGGCUCGCCAGGCUGAGGACCGCCCGCGCGGGCUGGAGCGCAGCGGUGUCCCAGGCCAGCCUGGUGCCCUUGUCCUGGCUACUUGCAGUACCAAAGCACCCGUACCCUCCUCUGCGCUCAAAGACUAAAGCUCCGAGCCGCGGAAGGGAAUGACUCUGACUCGCGGUUUUCCUAAGCCUGGAGAUAAUACAGUUCCUCGUGGAGUGUGCUUUAAAGGCACCCAGGACAGCAACAAGGAGACACCCCUCCAUUUCAGAGCCCCUUACCCUGCCUUAUCACGAGAUUAACUAGAUUGAUAUUAAUAUUGUAUUCCAAACCUCUUAGACAAGCCCCACAUCCCUGUCAGUCACAUUGGAUCUUACAAUCAGACUUGAAGAUGAUUAUUCUAACCUGCCACGUCCUUCUUUUUCUGCAACCAUGCCAGACACCUAGAAGUGAAAGUUCAUGUGAAUCAUCUUUAAAACUUCCAGCACUUAAAGUGGUCCCCACGUCCUUUGUUGUUUUACCUUCCAUUCCUAGUGUCAGUGGUGACUGCUAUGCCUUUAAGAAAGGCAGAAGAUCUUAUUUCAAAGGAAACCCAUUGUGUGAAUAAGCUAGGUCCUAGAAUACUUUUCUUGUCCAGGGUUUAACAAUAAACGUGUAGUGUAGACACUCUA